UGCUCUUCCUUGGCUUGUGUCCUGAC
rnacentral:piRNA from 1 species